AGGGGCAUAGUACAGCGGUUAGUAUAAAGGUCUCCAAAACCUUAGACCGUGGUUCGAUUCCACGUGCCCCUGCCA
rnacentral:tRNA from 2 species